AUGCCGCUGGCGGCGUGCCUACUACAUGCACGUCGAGCGAACAGACGCGGAGCUUGCUCCUCUGACGUUAGCGGCGGACGGGUGAGUAACACGUGGAUAACCUACCUAUAAGACUGGGAUAACUUCGGGAAACCGGAGCUAAUACCGGAUAAUAUAUUGAACCGCAUGGUUCAAUAGUGAAAGACGGUUUUGCUGUCACUUAUAGAUGGAUCCGCGCCGCAUUAGCUAGUUGGUAAGGUAACGGCUUACCAAGGCAACGAUGCGUAGCCGACCUGAGAGGGUGAUCGGCCACACUGGAACUGAGACACGGUCCAGACUCCUACGGGAGGCAGCAGUAGGGAAUCUUCCGCAAUGGGCGAAAGCCUGACGGAGCAACGCCGCGUGAGUGAUGAAGGUCUUCGGAUCGUAAAACUCUGUUAUUAGGGAAGAACAAAUGUGUAAGUAACUAUGCACGUCUUGACGGUACCUAAUCAGAAAGCCACGGCUAACUACGUG
rnacentral:rRNA from 1 species